rnacentral:rRNA from 1 species
ACGGGAGGCAGCAGUGGGGAAUAUUGGGCAAUGGGCGAAAGCCUGACCCAGCAACGCCGCGUGAAGGAAGAAGGUCUUCGGAUUGUAAACUUCUUUUAUGAGGGACGAAGGACGUGACGGUACCUCAUGAAUAAGACACGGCUAACUACGUGCCAGCAGCAGCGGCAAUACGGAGGUGGCAAGAGUUAUCCGGAUUUACUGGGUGUAAAGGGCGCGUAGGCGGGGAUGCAAGUCAGAUGUGAAAUCCAUGGGCUCAACUCAUGAGCUGCAUUUGAAACUGUGUCUCUUGAGUGCUGGAGAGGUAGAUGGAAUUCCUAGUGUAGCGGUGAAAUGCGUAGAUAUUAGUAAGAACACCAGUUGCGAAGGCGAUCUACUGGACAGUAAUUGACGCUGAGGCGCGAAAGCGUGGGGAGCAAACAGGAUUAGAUACCCUGGUA